GAUGAACGCUGGCGGCGUGCCUAAUACAUGCAAGUCGAACGCACGGACGAUCACCGUGCCUCUCUGCUGUUAGCGGCGGACGGGUGCGUAACACGUGGAUAACCUACCUUUAAGUCUGGGAUAACUUCGGAAAACAGGUGCUAAUACGUGCUGAUAUUGUGAACUUCAAUGUUCAGAAUGGUAAGACGGUCUUGCUGGCUCUUAUAGAUGUAUUCGAUCUGCCUUAGCUGCAUGGGCUAGUUGGUGGGGUAACGGCUUACCAAGGCUACCAGGCAUACCCGACCUGAGAGGGUGAUCGGCCACACGGGAACUGAGACACGGUCCAGACUCCUACGGGAGGCAGCAGAAGGGAAUCUUCCGCAAUGGGCGAAAGCCUGACGGAGCAACGCCGCGGGAGUGAUGAAGGUCUUCGGAUCGUAAAACUCUGUUAUUAGGGAAGAACAUAUGUGUAAGUAACAGUGCACAUCUUGACGGUACCUAAUCAGAAAGCCACGGCUAACUACGUG
rnacentral:rRNA from 1 species